CCCCCAGACUCCUACGGGAGGCAGCAGUAGGGAAUAUUGCUCAAUGGGGGGAACCCUGAUGCAGCGACGCCGCGUGGGUGAAGGAGCACCUCGGUGCGUAAAGCCCUAUCGGCAGGGAAGAAACAGACGGUACCUGACUAAGAAGCCCCGGCUAACUACGUGCCAGCAGCCGCGGGAAUACGUAGGGGGCAAGCGUUAUCCGGAGUGACUGGGUGUAAAGAGUUGCGUAGGUGGCAUAAUAAGUAGCUAGUGAAAUCUGGUGGCUCAACCAUUCAGACUAUUAGCUAAACUGUUAAGCUCGAGACCGUUAGGGGUAACUGGAAUUUCUAGUGUAGGGUUGAAAUCCGUAGAUAUUAGAAGGAACACCAAUAGCGUAGGCAGGUUACUGGGACGGUUCUGGCACUAAGGCACGAAAGCGUAGGGAGCAAACGGGAUUAGAUACCCUGGUAA
rnacentral:rRNA from 1 species